CGCAUGCUGCCGGCUCGGUUCUGCUCUUCAUCGCGCUGAUUCUGCCCAAGGAGAAAGUCCGAGCAGCGUUGGCCGGCGCGCCUCUUUAAGGUGAGGUGCCCUCCCACAGUGAGCGCCACCCAGGUGGAUGCAGCUGCGAGGGGAGCUCGUUUACCUGCGCACCGCCAUCACCUCCGCGAAAACCAAAAAAAAAACAUCACGCCCAGUCCCAAAUGGGGCAAGGCCCGGUACCGGUCCGCGGACUGGUGGUUGGGGACCACUGCUCUAGAGGACAGACAACCUCAACAGUUCUCGUUUAAGUGGCCAAUCCUCCAAAGAGUUGUUACCUUGGAAACGGCACCCUAUGUAUUUAUAGAGAGCCACACUGCAAAAGGAGAGCAGCGGCCAGAGUGCUUCUGAGGGCCCUUUUCUGCAGGGAUAUUUUGCCGUGGCCUACUUUUUGGUGGACAGUCCCUGCUGACUGGCAGGAAGGAGGGUGCCUAUGGCGCAGCUGGACGUGCUGGACAAACUGCUUCAACUUCAGCUUCCAAUCUACUGCUAAGUGAAUUAGAUGACAACAGCGCACAUAGUGAGUGUUGGGUGUUUAACUUGUCACCCACGUCCCACCUUCCUGGCAUUCAUCAGUGAUGCAGGUAGACCCUGAUAUCACCUGUAAAGGCAUAAAAAUUAUUUUGAGUCAUUUUGUUUUAUUCAAAUUGCUGAUGUAGCAUUGCGACGCUCGGAUUAUAUUGAGCAAUAAUACCCGUUUGAUUGCUUGCAAACACACACCCACGCACGCACACACACACACACAC